ACCUGCUUAGAAAGAGAAUUGCUCUUAAGUAGGUUAUGCAUGUUCCUAGUAAUUAUAUUUGUACCGAGGUUUGUCUACUAAAUCUAAUUCUCCUCAUGGAGAUUGUAAAGAAAUGUUUAAAGCCAAAGCUUGCUUGCGUCACAAAUUCUGCAGUGGCAGAGUGCAAAUUAAUGACAAUUUCCUACAUUUAGAGUUGUUAUCAGGCAACCAAUGGGUCACCCGUUGCCGGCUAAGCUCUGCUACACACUUGGAGAAAGAACAAGUGGAGUGCAUGCAUUUUGCUGAAUAUACAGGUAAAAUGCAUCAAAAGCACAAACACUUAUUUCCCCCCAGGCUUAUAAGAUCUGUUCCAUGUCUGUUGCAGAAAAGAAAAAAAAAGUUUUUAUCUUUUGAUUCAUAAUUCAUGGGGUCGGUGCACUAGGUCUUUAGGACCUCAAUUGUUAAUGUUUUCUCUUUGUAAGACAGGGUUUGAGCAAAGUCAAUAUUUUAAUGUUGACGGUUAAUGCUUGCUUGACCUAAUUUGUAUAUUGCUUCCUUUCGAAACGGAGAAGACGAGAAAAAGUACCUUUCCUGAAACAAAGCUCUAGGGGGAUGAAGAUAACCGCCCCGUUCAACAUCCAGGGUCCGUUUAUCUUCGGGUUUUUAAGAAAUAUUAGAAAUAUUCACAGUGGCAAGAUAUCACUAGUGCCGUCUACAAGAUAAAUUAGAAACAAUAGUAUCUUGCCUUUGAUUUAUUACCCGGAAAAUGUAAAUGCGAUUCUAUGACUAUGACUCCAUGAGUGAAAAAUGCCAAAGGUUGUUUACUGUGAUUAUUCCAGGCUAAAAACCCUGUCCAGCGGUUCUCUCAACAGACUGGCAGCAUCACUCUCUGGAAGAAUGCGAGUCACUGCGUUUGUCUCUUUUCGCAGAGAAAUGAAUGGACCCCCAAAUUCGAGCUGCUUGGCAUCCCAACGGUCACAGAGGCAUUUGGACGGUGUGGAUACAGCUUCACGAUGUGCUCCUUGUAGAAUUCGUGGCUUAGAUUUGGAGGGACGUUUCUCCCUAUCUAGUUUUUAUUGCGAUGUCGUCGACGGGCAAGGCCGUGUUAGCUUUAGGGUUUCAGGUGUGCGGCACAGUGAUUCGCUAUACCUACGUGUGUGUCUAUUCUUCUUCAGAUUCUUUUCCCUUAUCCCUUAGUACCAAGUGUUCUCGGAGGUCGUUUUUUUCACCCUCAACUCCGUCUCUGUCACCAUCAGCUCUGUUUCCCGCGGGCUUCUGUGGACCCAAGCGGUGCCAGCUUGCGGACAGUGAUGUGGCUGUCGGGGGAGGGGGGUUGGCUUCUCCGACGCCCGCUCCCGGAUCCCAGCACAGCCCGUGUGGCUCAGGUAACAGGAGCAGGCCCUUUGGGAGAAGUUACUUGCAGAAAAACCUCAAGUGACUCGAGGCGGUAGUCUCGGUUCUUCCCAAUUCCUCCGCCCCACCCCCAAGGUCGUGACUUGGCCUUCCUGCGCAGGGAGCGGGCUCUGGGCUCUUGUCACCUCCACACCAGCAAGACUGGUCUCUGGACGAGACAACGCCUCUUCUCAUGGUGCAGGGGGCCUAGGAGAUGGAAUAUUGUCCCGAGUGACAGAGAGGGCACCCAGGGAGCUAAUCGUCUGGCUAGAAAUGGUUGAGAGCAGCUGGUGCUCAUCUGUGGGCCAGACGCCGCAGGGCAGCGUUCUCAGCCUGACCUUGACUGUGGACAUUUGGGUGGAUCAGUUCUGCCUCCGUGUCCCGGGCCAUCUGGCAUGGUGAGCGGCAUUCCCGGCCUCCACCCACCCAAUGCCAGAACCAGCCCUCCCCCUCCCAGUUGUGACAACCAGAAAUGCCUCCAGAAGCUUCUGGAUGUCCCUGGGGACGGGGGGCACUCAACCCAGCCCCGCACCGGGGCUCUAAGCGUG
rnacentral:lncRNA from 1 species